rnacentral:piRNA from 1 species
UGGGAAGUACAGAAAUUUCCCUGUAGAGAC